rnacentral:lncRNA from 1 species
GAGGGUUCUAAUGGGGGAGGUUUCCAUUGGGCUUUAAGGUCCGUACCGUCACGAUUAAGGCCCGUACCGUGACGAUUAAGGUCCGUACCGUGACGAUUAGUAAAGGAAAAAGGGUCAAGAUUGCAUUAUGCAGAUUACACCUCUUUACCUGGAGGUGUGUACUUCAGGGCAGCAAGGAGCUGUUGACCAUCAGUCAUCACUCAUCAGGCCAAGUGUUAUCAGAGCAACGAAGAAGAAGAAGGAGAAGAAGAAGAAGAGACGUGUUGAGGACAGAUUUUCUAGUCAGUUGAGAAAGAGUCAGAAACAUCCCUUUCCAUUAUAUUAAAUACUUAUUUGGUAUUUGAUGUAUAUUAGGCAUAUUCAUAGUGUUGAUUACGUAUUUACACAAUGACAACACUGGAGACAUUAAUGCC